rnacentral:rRNA from 1 species
UACGUACGAGGCGAGCGUUAUCCGGAAUUACUGGGCGUAAAGCGCGCGCAGGUGGUUUAUUAAGUUGGGCGUGAAAUCUCCCGGCCUAACUGGGAGGGGUCGCCCAAAACUGGAAGACUUGAGGACUGCAGAGGUGGGUGGAAUUCCUGGUGUAGUGGUGAAAUGCGUAGAGAUCAGGAGGAACGACCGGUGGCGAAGGCGGCC